UCGGGUAUGGUGUAACGGCUAACAUUGCCGCCUUUCAUCGCAUGUUCUAUAUAUCCUGCGCGGCAGCUCGGGGUUCGAUUCCCCGUACCCGAA